GAUGAAGAACGUAGCGAAAUGCGAUAAGUAAUGCGAAUUGCAGAAUUUCCGUGAGUCAUCGAAUCUUUGAACGCACAUUGCGCCCACUGGUAUUCCGGUGGGCAUGCCUGUUCGAGCGUCAUUAUCCUCCCUCAAACCCCGGGUUUGGUGUUGGACCCAAGUUGUGUGAACAACUGGUCUCAAAGACAAUGACGGCGUCCGUGGGACCCUCGGUGCAACGAGCUUUUAGGAGCACGCAUCGAGUUGCAAGGACCUUCCGGGCCGGUCUCCUUUACCAUUUUACAAGGUUGACCUCGGAUCAGGUAGGAAUACCCGCUGAACUUAAGCAUAUCAUAGCGGAGGA
rnacentral:misc_RNA from 1 species